rnacentral:rRNA from 1 species
GACGAACGCUGGCGGCGUGCCUAAUACAUGCAAGUAGAACGCACAGUUUAUACCGUAGCUUGCUACACCAUAGACUGUGAGUUGCGAACGGGUGAGUAACGCGUAGGUAACCUGCCUGGUAGCGGGGGAUAACUAUUGGAAACGAUAGCUAAUACCGCAUAAUAUUAAUUAUUGCAUGAUAAUUAAUUGAAAGGUGCAAUUGCACCACUACCAGAUGGACCUGCGUUGUAUUAGCUAGUAGGUGAGGUAACGGCUCACCUAGGCGACGAUACAUAGCCGACCUGAGAAGGUGAUCGGCCACACUGGGACUGAGACACGGCCCAGACUCCUACGGGAGGCAGCAGAAGGGAAUCUUCGGCAAUGGACGAAAGUCUGACCGAGCAACGCCGCGUGAGUGAAGAAGGGUUUCGGGUCGUAAAGCUCUGUUGUAAGGGAAGAACGGGUGUGAGAGUGGAAAGUUCACACUGUGACGGUAUCUUACCAGAAAGGGACGGCUAACUACGUG